AGGAAGAAGAGUAGAAGCAUAAAGCGAUCGUUCACCGGAGAUGAAAGGCCUCACUUCCUGCCGGCGGUGGACAGGGCUGCAUCUGUUUGUCUGCAGCAACUAGAGGAGCCAGUAUCUCAGCAGAACUGGCUCAGAGCACACCCAGUGGACAAAUCUGACAAAUGUCUUUCACCAGCCUUUGUAGAACUUUGUGCAGUGCUUUCUAGAAACAAGCAGAAGCUGUGUCAAGCAUAUAAUCUCCAACUAGUGCUGCCUUCAGGGUCUUUAAGAAGAAACAUGUCCCAGGCAGCCACAGGGGACCAGGCACCAAUGAAGAGGAUUUUGUUAGGAGAACAGAACAAUUGGUCAGGGGCAGUAAUUCCCAGACCAUGGG
rnacentral:lncRNA from 1 species